GAUGAACGCUGGCGGCGUGCCUAACACAUGCAAGUCGAACGGAAAGGCCCUGCUCUUGUGGGGUGCUCGAGUGGCGAACGGGGGAGUAAAACGCGUGUAACCUGCCCUUGUCUUUGGGAUAACAUCAGGAAACUGGGGCUAAUAUCGGAUAGGAGCUCCUGCUGCAUGGUGGGCGUUGGAAAGUUUCGGCGGUUGUGGAUGGAUUCGCGGGUUACCGGCUUGAUGGUGGAGUAGUGGCGUACCAAGGCUGCGACGGGUAGCCGGCCUGAGAGGGUGACCGGCCACAAGAGUACUGAGGGAGGCCGCAGUCUCCAACGGGAGGCAGCGGUCGGAAGUCUUACGCAGUAAGCGGGAGCCUGAUACGACGGCGCCGCGUGCGGAAAGACGGCCUUCGGGUUAUGAACCGCUGUCGCCUGUGAUGAAGCGUGCUUGACGGUAAUGAAUAAAGAAGCACCGGCUAACUACGUG
rnacentral:rRNA from 1 species